ACAUCCAGAGAAUUUAGCAGAGAUGCUUUAGUGCCUUCGGGAACUCUGAGACAGGUGCUGCAUGGCUGUCGUCAGCUCGUGUUGUGAAAUGUUGGGUUAAGUCCCGNAACGAGCGCAACCCUUUAUCCUUUGUUGCCAGCACGUAAUGGUGGGAACUCAAAGGAGACUGCCGGUGAUAAACCGGAGGAAGGUGGGGAUGACGUCAAGUCAUCAUGGCCCUUACGAGUAGGGCUACACACGUGCUACAAUGGCGCAUACAAAGAGAAGCGACCUCGCGAGAGCAAGCGGACCUCAUAAAGUGCGUCGUAGUCCGGAUUGGAGUCUGCAACUCGACUCCAUGAAGUCGGGAUCGCUAGUAAUCGUAAAUCAGAAUGUUACGGUGAAUACGUUCCCGGGCCUUGUACACACCGCCCGUCACACCAUGGGAGUGGGUUGCAAAAGAAGUAGAUAGCUUAACCUUCGGGAGGGCGUUUACCACUUUGUGAUUCAUGACUGGGGUGAAGUCGUAACAAGGUAAGCGUAGUGCU
rnacentral:rRNA from 1 species